rnacentral:lncRNA from 1 species
AUCUUGGUACUUUCUUCAUCUUUAAGCUCUUUUGUAAAAAUCAAAACAACAAUAAAAAAACAAAACCCAUCUUUUCAUUCCAGAUCUGCUGCAGUUUGGCUUUUGCCCUUAUAGUUAUUUGUUUCUUUUUUUUUUUUUUAACUAUUUUUUUUUGGACAUGAGGUCGGUCUUGUCGUGUAGCCUAGGCUAGCUUUGAACUUUGGAUCUUGAUUCUGUCUUUUGAUACUGGGAUUACAGUUGUGUGCUACCCCUCCUGGUUUUAAAUCACUUGUUAGCAGUUUCCAGGUUUGUGCUACUGAUCUCUCAGCAGCCCUUUGUACUUGCCUGUUCUCUCCCUCUUCCUUCCUCUGGGAUAAACCUUCCUCAGCGGCUCUCUUCCCUCCUGCCUGGUAACAAUGCGGUUCAGUUCCCUGGUAUUUUAUCUCGUGCUUUUAUCUUACUUGUUAUCUCUGUGGCUCUAUUGUAUUGUUUCUACUUCCUGAGUUGUCUUGAGACCUCUGUGCACUGAUGGUGAUGUUUCAGUCUUAAUCCAGAACUCUCUUCUGGAUUCUGGACUUGUCUCACUGAUUGGACAGCUUUUAUCUGAAGUCUUUCUCCCUGGUCAUGGCCCAGAUGUCACUGUUACUUGCUCUCCUAAGUUGUUACUCCAGGAAGAGCCAUUCCUGUUGACUAAUGCUUAAAAUGGGGACAUCCCUUUUGGUUUUCACACUUCACUUGUUGUCUUUUAGAUUUCGUUCUAAGCUGUUCCCACUCUCCUCAUACCCUUACUACUAUCUGUUAAUUAACCUCAUCUCCAUGUUAGUGAUGCUCCCGAAGUUACCCUGUCUCCAUCCUGCUGUUCCUCAGCGCUUCUCUUAUGCCUGACUUAGUUUCCUUAUUGGUUUUCUCGCCUCCAACAUGCUCCUCUCUUUCGGCCAGCACACUUGUCCAGAGUGACUGUUUGAUGGGACUGAGAACCUAGGUUUACAUCCCAGACCACCUGGCACUGCUUGCCUUAAGAACUUAGAUAAUUUGCUUAAUACUUUUGUACCACAUUUUCCUAUAAAAUGGAGAUUAACAGUGUUUAUUUUAUAAUGAAGCCAUGAGGAUUUGUGUUAAUAUAUGUCAGUGUUAAUGGAAGUUUGUGUAGUGAUAGAAGUACUGUGGAGGUAUAAUCUUCUCUAGUAACCAUGGCCACAGUGAGCUAAUGAGUUCCUAAAAAAACACAACUAGUUGACUGAGGAUUCAGUUGAAAUACCCUUACAGAUAGUUAUUAUACUUGACAGUACAGAGUAUAAAAUUCUCAGAAUAGUGAAAAGGUCAUCUGUAUAUGGCUGCUAGUAUUACAUUUUAAAAUUAAAAUUACCUCUGCUUAAACACUUUCUGUGCCAUAGCCUAGACAACUGUGACCCUGCCACGUGAGUUACUGUACCCUAGUGUAUGAAAGUGCAUGUCAUUGUACCCAUGUGCACACCAGGUGGGUGCUGGGACGGAACCCAGAACCUUGGCGUGACAACUAAUUGCUCUUAAACAGCUGAACCAUUCUGCCAGCCUCCUAGGUCUUACUUCCCUCCGUCUUUUUAUUUUUUAUUUAUUUUAUUUUGAGACAGUGUCUCACUGCCCCGGCUGACCAUGAAUUCACUGAGAUUUGCCUUUCUGUGCCUCCCAAGUGGUGGAAUUAGAAGCACACAUCACUUUAGGCUCAGCAUGCUUUAGUUUUAAACUUUAGCUUCAUUUUAUGUGUAUGAAUGAAUGUUUUCCCACAGUAGCCAUAAGAGAGUGUUAGAGCUCUUGGGACUGAAGUUUUAGAUGGUUGCCAGCCAGCAUGUGGUUGCUGUCGUCCUCUGGAAGAUCGGUGCACUUUACUGCUAUGCCGUCUGUCUCUCCAGCUCCAUGCUUUGAUGGACUGUGCUGUGCUUUAUUUGAUUCAAGGUUAGGGUAACUUCCAAACUAAACAGGAUAGACUUACUUAUUUUAAAAAAGGUUUAGAUUUAUUGGAAAACUGAUCCAACAGAAGCAGCACACAUCACUGAGGCAGCGGUGAACACUUUGUUCUCGGUAUGUAAGAGUAGAUCAAGAUGUUCAAUAAACACCUGUAAACUUAGAACACGAGAAAACAGACAUUUAAACCAAACAACAAGCAUUCCCACCACAGCUGGGACUUUGGUGGCUCUUGCUGUCUGUCAUUGGCAUCGCAGGAUGCACAUUUUUCUCAGUUACUCUGCACUGCGAGAGUGUCAACACAAGGAUGAGAGAGGGUUGGUGCGUGUGUGAGAACGAGUAAAAGUAGUUAUAUACGCGUUCGAAACUGUCAAAUAAAACAGCCAUUAAAGGUAGAUGAGAGAAUAUGCUAGUGUAUUGUUGGUAGUUAGGUAAAUUAGGACAGCCACUAUGGGAAACAAUAAGAAAUUAAAUGUUUAAGUAUCACAUGACCCAACAAUCUUUCUGGGUAUAUAAAAUGAAGCUAACAGCUUCUGAAGGUACUGGUACCCACAUAUUGAUUAAAGUAUAACCUUGGUAAACAACAUAAGGGAAUAAUGUAUGUGUCUUUGAUAGAUCAAUGGAUAAACUGAAAUACCCUUGCAUUCAUUAUACCUCAAAACAAAACAAAACAAAACAAAAC